GACGAACGCUGGCGGCGUGCUUAACACAUGCAAGUCGAACGGAAAGGCCCUGCUUGCAGGGUACUCGAGUGGCGAACGGGUGAGUAACACGUGGGUUAUCUGCCCUUCACUUCUGGAUAAGCCUGGGAAACUGGGUCUAAUACCGUAUAGGAGCCAUUUUUAGUGUGAGGGUGGGAAAGUUUUUUCGGUGUAGGAUGAGCUCGCGGCCUAUCGGCUUGUUGGUGGGGUAAUGGCCUACCAAGGCGGCGACGGGUAGCCGGCCUGAGAGGGUGGACGGCCACAUUGGGAAUGAGAUACGGCCCAGAAUCCUACGGGAGGGAGCAGUGGGGAAUAUUGCACAAUGGGCGCGAGCCUGAUGCAGCGAAGCCGCGUGGGGGAUGACGGGCUUCGGGUUGUAAACUCCUUUCGAGCGGGACGAAGCUUUUUGUGACGGUACCUAGAUAAGAAGCACCGGCUAACUACGUG
rnacentral:rRNA from 1 species